rnacentral:lncRNA from 1 species
GCUAUAUCAGAAAGUUAUAAACACUAAGGUGGCAAAGGAAUAAUUUACAGUACUCUGAUACCAAGGUGUAUGUGGCUAAGGGUAAUAGGAUAGAAUUACACUUCACAAAGUAUAAUAUGAAAGCGUUGGAAUAUGUUUUAGAAAAGUUAAUUGUGCACAAACUGUUUUCCAUGCUCAGAAUGUUAAUCGGCUGCAUACUCCCCCAGGUGAUGCAUAAUCUUGCUCCUCUUUCUCCAUCAACAAAUGCUGAAGGAGAAGUGCUUCACUGAAGGCCAGAUCUCCUUCCGGAAAGGAUGCCUGGGAUAUUGAGUUUUGGACCCAGGUUCUCUUUCUCCUACUCCAAGCCACACAGGCAUGCUGAUUCCCUUUAACCUCUCUGAGCCUUACUUAUGUUGAUCUCAUUUAGGCUAGAGAAAAAGGGAACAGAGUUUGGAACUGAAGACAUAUUGCUACACCCAUCAAAAUGACUUACCCCAUGCAAAUCCUCAGCCUCUCAAGUGAUCAUCUAUCCCUGUAGCUGUCUAAAUGCCAUUGCGAAUGACCUGGAUGAUCAUGCUGCAGUUUAAAAGAGGAUCCAAAGAUGAUGUACUGAGAUUUUGAAGACAUUAUUAGAAACUCUCUAUAUUUUUUAUUGGUUCAUUUUAGUUAUACAUAACAGUAGAGUCCAUUUUGAUAAAAUUAUACAGGCAUGGGAUAUUUCUUAUUCUUACUAGGGUCCCAGCCUUGUGGAUAUACAUGAUGGUGGGAUUCACUGUGGUGUAUUCAUAUAUGAACACAGGAAAGUUAUGUUAGAUUAUUUCUAUUGUCUUUCCUAUUCCUAACCCCACUUCCUUCUCUUCAUUCCCCUUUGUCUAAUCCUUCGAACUUCUAUUUUCCCCACCCCACCACCUUAUUGUGAGUUGGCUUCCACAUAGCAGAGAAAACAUUCACUUUUAUUUUGAUCUUUUAUUUGUAUUUUUAUAUAUCUUACACUUAUAGUAUAUUAGCAUAACUUAUACUAUAUUGGUAUAGCAGUUCAUACAUAUUAUUUGAAAAUAUACAUACAUAUAAGAGAUCAUGUGUUCAAUUAAAAAAAAAACUUUAAUCUGUUUUAAUAUGGAGGAGAGAAGACUCCUAAUAUUAAAGACACCUAUCACUAGGUGGUCUCAAUAAAUAUCUAAUGAGAUAAAGUGAGUUUUUUUUUUUUUUUAUGCCCUUUGGAAAGUUAAAUAUGCUAUACAAGGUAAAGAAGGAGCCUACCGAAAAUGUUAGGAGGAGAAAAAGUUUGUUAUUCCUUUCCAUGGAAAAAGAACCACCAAAGACUAUCUUCUUGAAUGUAAAUGAAGAUUUGACCCUACAUGUGAGGCAAAAAGAAAAAGAAAAGAAAACCUGAAAUGUAAAUUUUCAAGCAACAUCUCAUACCUGGGAAAUCACCAGUGGAGGAUGAAGAAAAAGGACUAUAGAAAAAAAGGAAAGAAGAAGAUUGAAGACGCCUGGCAUGGGAACAAAAGAACAUACAAAUCACAUUUUAUCUGAGAGUUUUAACUACUAUAUCUGGCCCAAUGUCUCAAAAGUAAGCUAAAAAAUGUGUUUUGAGUAAAUGCGAC